AAUUUUAAGAGAAAAUUCUCCCUGUGUAAGCAAAACGCUUGUCAUCUCGGAACAUACGCAUUACCUUUUGUAUCAUUUUAUUAUCCAAGCUACGUCCAAUCGCUUGGACGACGUGACGAUUUGAAAGGAAAUUGAAUUCAAAUUCAAUUCACCGCCGGAAUUUCAGAGAAACGGACUUGCGAUCUCACUUGGAAGGAGACAAUUUACUGCGCGCAAUUAGCAUCAAUCCACGUCGGUGCAAAUAAGCUCUUGCGGUGGAUACGGAAACCGACUACUGCUGAUCAAUCUUUAGUCACGUAACACCGGACUGUACGUCGCGUAAAAAAGAACUGGGUUAUACAUAAAUAAAUAACUCGGAUCGCCUUGGAAGGAAAUCGCUGCGAGCUGACGGGCCCGUUUAUCGAGUACGUGUAAAUAUAAUUGCCAGACGACGAGGCCGAUCGCUUCACGCGGCUGCAAAGGUCGCGAGACUGUCCUUACACUUGACGGGAUUCUCCCGCGGGAUCCGCCAACGAGCUUUCGAAUUAUGGACCGUUGAGUAAUCGGGGCCUCGAUUAGCUCUGCCGACUUCCUAUUACCGUAAUAGUCGGUUUCCAAUCCACCCGACUAUUAAUAGCGUUUGGCAGAGAAAGUCUGUCUAUUUCGCACACAGUCGCUCGCGAUGGACGAGCGACUUUUUUUAUCAGUCCGCUUCAUGAAAUUUCAUUUGGAGUCACAAUGCUACACGGAGAGCACUUUUUCUUAAAAUUUAUCCCGAAAAUCGUGUACUUGUAUCCCAGAUAGCCAGUACGCUCAAGCAAUGUAUGGAAAUAAAACGCUAGCAACCGAUGGUAGCAUUUUAUUUCCAUACGUAGCUCUUCGCUAGGAAUAUUAAUUCAACGUUUGAGCGAUUUAAGUGCAGCUAGCAUAAUGUUGUCAUAUUGUCGUAGUUAAGUGUACAGCUAAAGAGAGAACACGUUGAAUGGCGCAUACUGUUAACAAAGGGUUAGCAUUGUUUUCAGUUUUCUAACAGAUAUAAACAUAUUAGAUCUAUUACAUCUGGCCGAGCACUUAAUGCUGGUAUAAUAUUUGAAUCAUGCAAAUGUUUCAUUUCCGACAUCAAAUGCUAGCAAACAACAGCACAGUAGACGACAUAGUUGCAUAG